UAACUAUUCUCAAGCUACAUUCUUUUUAAAAGAGUGUGGCAUGGAAUUGAGUGAUCCCGGUACGAGUGCCUCGGCACUGCAACUGGGAGACUUGAAACUGAUAUCGCGGGAGCAGUGGUCAUUAAGGAUCAGCUCUUUGUAGGUGUACUAGUUGGAGGCGUCGCAAGACGUUUUCAUUCUUAACACCAUUACGCAAAGUUCAGAUCUGACGACUGCAACCAACGAACGCAGGAACGCGAGUCUUCGGACUUCAACU
rnacentral:misc_RNA from 1 species